ensembl:snRNA U6 U6 spliceosomal RNA
GUGCUCGCUUCAGAAGCACUUGCACUAAAUUUGGAAUGAUACAGAGAAGAUUAGCAUGGUCCCUGAACAAGAAUGAUAUGCAAAUUCUUGAAGUACUCCAUAUUUUU